UCCUGCUGGCCACAUUCACGGUGUUGCCCCAGAUAUCGUAUUGUGGCUUCUGAGCUCCAAUCACACCGGCUAUUACAGGCCCAUGGUUAAUACCUGCAACGCAUCAGAACCGGGCAAGAAGACUCAAGUUACAAUGACCGUCUUCAACAGAAAAGUUGUACAAGAGGAUUUCUGAAUCAUCAUUAUGCAGCCAACAUUAGCCCAACUCACGGAAUUCUAAAACAAAGAAAAAUAAUUUGUUUCUCUUCUUGGUCUCGAUUCAUACAUAGCUACACUGAAUGGAUAUACCACAUUUACUGGCAGUUUGGUCACCGAUGGACUUCUGGGUUCAUGCCAACAUCUUGCUGAAUCCGCCACUUGCCCCCACACCACUGUGGCAUUUUCUACCUGCUGCGCACUGUAAAACUCUGGGGAUGCUCACAACAGCCUUGUGCGGUGGGUACUGUUAUCACCACCUCUGGAUUCAGGCAAGAAAGCAGGAGAGGGCGCCAUCAGACAGGCAGCAGUGGCAGUGGCAGCCAGCUCCGUGGCCCUGUUGGUAAGGAUGCUGCCAUGAGCUUCCCGUGCACGAGGCUUCUUCCCACCUUUCAGGUGACACACAGCGAGAAGACAGCCACCGGAAGACCAGCAAGAGGGUCCUCGCCAGACAUCUCACCUGCUGGUGCUUUGGUCUUGGACAUACCAGCCGUUGGAGCUGUGAGAAGUAAAGGUAUGUUGUCACCCAGUCUAUUGGUGGUUGCUAGGGCAGCCUGGGCUGACCGAGACUGUCUCCGGUUUUCCCACUCUCCACGUCAGCCGGCAUUGGAAUCGUCUGCACACACGCCUUUCCCGGACUGUAAACUUCAGGGAACGCUUGCCACAGUGUGGAAAGGAAACAUCUGCUGGAUGUCCCACGAGCUCAGUAAAACCUAGAACAGCGGAGCCUGAGACGGAGCCAUUAACCUGAGUCGCUGGAUGCGGAUGGGAAACGUUUUUUCUUUGCUUUGUUGGCAACUCAGUUUUGCUAAUACGCUGGAUGCGCGAGUGUAGGCAUCUCACGGGCUGAUCGUAUGGAGCCUGGGAUCUCAUCUGGGGGACGGGGGGAGUCAAAUAAAGGAGACACACUGGCGCCCUCUGCAACGGUGUCUCUAUGGGGUGAACUGGGCAAGAACCAGAUGGAGCCAAGGGUAGUGCUUAGUAACUACCCUCAACCUGCCACUCUGGGUCCGCUGCUGAGUUUG